AAAGAGGUUGUGCUUGCUGGGUUGGUUGGAAGCGGUUGGCGGGCGGGCGUAUGGCGGCCAGGCCUAGAAGGCCACGGUCGCCGUGCGUGCCUUGGGGGCCAAGCUUUUUGAUGCCCUAAACCGCCAAGGCAAGGUGGGAAGGUCAGGGACCCCCAUGGACCAUCCCUUGGGCUCAUGAUGGCGGUAGGCUAACCCACUACACAGAGCGGGCUAUCGCCGAGGCACCGCGGAGAGAGGCUUUUCCAGGGCCUGGAGGUGGUGGGCCAGGCCUAUGGAGCAAGAGAGCUUACUGCUCCGAUGCAGACGAGCAGUACAAGAUGGACAGAUUUCAUUUCCCAGAGAUGCUGAACCCUGCACAAGGUGAAAGGCGCACAGUCCCGGACCUCUCCGGACAAGUCGGAUCCGCCUAACCAGCUGCACGAUACCCCGAUGUGAUCCUAGCCGUCUGCCAACCCAGGUAGCCCAGAAGGGCACCUGUAAAGACCCCUGUACCUCUAUUGAGUGUCCUCCAAGCACUAUCCAUUAUCAAGAAACUCCUUUCUGCGCGGGAAGGUUGGCUUUAGGACGCACGGGAGAGGUGCGCGCGCCCCUUUUCACGAUCUCAGGCCUCCUCGAACUACCAGAGAUGCUCACCGAGAAGCCGACUCACCCUCUGGCUCUGCAGAGAGUGGCCCCACUGCGCAAGGACUGUUGGAGCCGAAAAGAUUAACCUUAUGAGGAGAGAAUCUGGGGUCCGGAGACCCCAGUCUCACCUCGGGGAAAAAAGAAGGGAUGUACCUACCUUCAAACCACUGCGAACUUUCUGAAGCUCCGCGCCUCAGCUUGUGGCUCUCACGCUACAUGAGAAAAACAGGUACGUCAGCGAGAGCAUCAUGGCUAGGGGGCGGCCAGAGACCACUGGAUCUCGCUGUCGGACUCGGAAGACCAAGGUAAAAAGACCUGCUUGUUCCUGAGCGCUGGAAGAGCCCACGGACUCAGUUAAAACAGUUCUGCCGACAUCAUGUGGAGCACAAAGACAUUGGUCUAGCCAAUUUUAGGGCACACAGAGAGGAAAACAGGACUGUGGGUGCUGGUAAAUGCCUGUUUGAUGGAAACUGAUGCCAGCUGUCAGCAGUGAGGUGGAUGAUGGUUUUUAGUGUGUGGGGAAAGUGCUUCAUUUUUCAGGGGAAAGCUUUAUGCCUGUGAUAGAAAUGGCAGCCCAGAGCCUGUGCACUAAUACAGAAACACCAGGACUGCCCACAUUAUUAAAAAAUAUGCAUUACAUAAUAUUUUGGACUAGGAUUCUGCAUUAGCAGUGCUCUUUCUUGCAAGAUGCAUUUUCAUCAGCCUACGGACAUUUAACAAAGCAUGCAUUUCCAAGCCCUGGUCAUCUGCACGGUUACAAAUUCAUUUCGGCACAUGUUCAGCAUGGACUCCAGGAGGAGCAGAGAGAGCUGUACCACAAGCAGCUCCAUCUUGUACUUAGUGCCGAGGUUGAGCAAACGGGUCUGCACAGAAAAAGCUCUGUAAAAUGCAUAUGUGCAUGACUUUAAAAGUGCUUGCUGCAGAGUGAAUUUCAAAAGGGACCAAGUGGGUGAUGAACGACCUCGGUUGUGCAGGUAAAUAAAGUGUGGUAGGUAAUAUAUCACCUUCAGACUUUGAAGAAGGAGGCUCCUAGACCAGUUGGGCAGGAAAGCAGUUUCCAGUUGAUGACAGUAUCAUAUAGAAGGGCUCUUAUUUGGAUGUAUUGUGAAGAAGAUUCUUUUGUGCUUAAAGGAUUGUCCGGUGGAAAAGGCUUUACUAGUUACUUGACAUAGCUCCAGGGGCCAAAAUGAGGACCUAUAUGGGUGCUAUUUUCAGGUAGGCUUCAGCCCAAGGAGGAAUAUUUAGCAAGUAGGACUCUGAAGUAGAAUGGCCUUGUCGUUGUCAGAAGCUGUGCCUAGGUCAAAGGACAGAUGACUACACGUUAGAUAGAGGUCUCCAUGGUGCUGAUGAAACUGCUAGAGCUAAGACAAGGUUUGACGAUGGCCCUCUGUAGUUGUUCCCCCAGGGCUGUAGGAGAGGGCUUGGGGGACGGGGUUCAAGCCUCCCACUCUGCCUCAGUUUCCUUCAAAAGACUAUGACAGGGGGGAGUCUCACUCCUGGAGCCAAGGUGUCAGUCAGGGUCAUCUAUUCAUCACAUUGGCCUCUGGGCCUCCCCUCCUGGAGCUGUCUCGGAAAUUACAAAAUAAAAUUGGCUAUUUAGUUAC
ensembl:antisense uncharacterized LOC110317701